rnacentral:rRNA from 1 species
AUUGAACGCUGGCGGCAGGCCUAACACAUGCAAGUCGAACGGUAACAGGAAACAGCUUGCUGUUUCGCUGACGAGUGGCGGACGGGUGAGUAAUGUCUGGGAAACUGCCUGAUGGCGGGGGAUAACUACUGGAAACGGUAACUAAUACAGCAUAACGUCGCAAGACCAAAGAGGGGGACCUUCGGGCCUCUUGCCAUCGGAUGUGCCCAGAUGGGAUGAGCGCGUAGGUGGGGUAACGGCUCACCUAGGCGACGAGCCCUAGCUGGUCUGAGAGGGAGACGCGCCAACAGGGAAUGGAGACACGCCCCAGACCUCUGCGGGGGGCAGCAGUGGGGAAUAGUGCACAAGGGGCGAAAGCCUGAUGCAGCCAUGCCGUGUGUAUAAAGAAGGCUUGGGGUUUGUAAAGUACUUUCUGGGGGGAGAAAGGGAGAAAAGUUAAUACCUUUACUCAGUGGGGUUCCCCGCAGAAGAAGCCCGGGCAAACCCUG